ACGGAUGGGGCCCGAGAGAUGCGGAGUUCCCCACCUGUGGGGAAUGGUUCGCAUCAGGACCCGAAGAUUCGUAAGUCGUAACCGAAGAUAUCCUAUGGCCGAGGAUCAGAUAAGAAGCUACUCCACCUUGUCUCCCUCUUUUCCCUUUCCAAAGUCUCCAGCACUUGAUUUUGGCCGUUGACAUUUCUUCGUAGAUUGUAUCACUCUCCAUUUUCAAGUGCCAGAUUCCACUCAUCAGAAACCCUUGAAAUCUUCAGAGAGAGAGAGAGAGAGAUGGAGGUACGAACUCGAGCGCCUGGGAAGAUCAUACUCUCCGGGGAGCACGCAGUCGUUCACGGAUCGACGGCUGUUGCUGGGUCAAUCGAUCUCUACACCAAUGUAUCUCUUCGCAUUUCAAAUUCUUCAGAUGUUGAUGAUGGGUUAUUAGAAUUUCAGCUUAAAGAUAUGGGAUUAGCUUUUUCAUGGAAAAUCCAAAAAAUUAAAGAGACAAUUUCUGAAUUGGGAUUUCCUCUUUCUUCAUCAGCCCCGUCUUUCUCAUCAGAAUCCAUAAAAUUAUUUGCCACUCUUGUUGAGCAACAGAAUAUUCCAGAGGCAAAAAUCGGACUUGCUGCUGGAAUAUCUGCCUUCCUUUGGCUAUACACAUCAAUCCAAGGUUUUAAGCCUGCAACAGCAGUUGUUACUUCUGAUCUUCCCUUGGGUUCGGGUUUGGGUUCAUCUGCUGCAUUCUGUGUCUCGAUCUCAGCAGCUCUGCUUGCAUCAUCGGGUGCAUUAAGUUCAGUUUCCAGCCACGAUGGUUGGUUAACACUUGGUGAAAGUGAACUGGAAUUGGUGAACAGAUGGGCUUUUGAAGGUGAAAAAAUAAUUCAUGGAAAGCCAUCUGGAAUUGACAACACUGUGAGCACGUUCGGCAACAUGAUCAUGUUCAGGUCAGGUAAAUUGACUCGCAUCAAACCUAGUAUGCCGCUUAGAAUGCUCGUCACUAACACAAAGGUUGGGAGGAACACGAAGGCAUUAGUUGCUGGUGUUUCCGAGAGAGCCUGCAGGCACCCUGAAGCCAUGACUGCUGUAUUUACUGCUGUAGAUUCCAUCAGCAAGGAGUUGGCUGCCAUCAUCCAGUCGCCUGCUUCUGAUAUGCUCGCAAUUACAGAAAAAGAAGAUAAGUUGGAAGAACUGAUGGAAAUGAAUCAAGGUUUACUCCAGUGCAUGGGAGUCAGUCACUCUUCUAUAGAAACUGUGCUUCGAACAACUUUGAAGUACAAGUUAGCAUCCAAGCUGACAGGGGCUGGUGGUGGAGGCUGUGUUUUGACAUUAUUACCAGCAUAUCUGUGUUUGCCUUUACCAUCUAGCAUCAUGAAAGCUUUGGGAUUCGGUCAAACCUGGGAUUGGAGCCAGUGGACUACCAAUGUGAUUCUGCCACUACUUGACUAGUGUGGUCAGAGUAUGAUAGGAAGGGAGAAGGGAUCUGUCCUAGUACGUGAUUGCUUGCGAGUCCAAGAAGAUGUGUAAAAGUAGAUGCAACAACUUACUGCAUGGAAGGGAUACAACCUAAUCGGAGAGAGCUGGAAGAAGCUUUUGGAUGACUAUUAGAGUUUGCAUGAAGAUGUGAAAGGAUAAUAAACAAUAGAGCAAGGUUGUGUGCUGAAGAGUUGUGGAAUACCAUUUUAUGGGGAUACGUAGAGGUGCUUGUUAUUCUGUGCACCUCUACCCAAUUUGAAGGAACAUUUGGUGCAUGCAAGGACACAAGUCUUGUUUUUUAGUCCAAGCAGAUAUGUGAGAGAAGAUGCAACAGCAAUUUAUGGCAGGGAAGUUGAACAACUAAAUCAGAGAGAUCUGGAAGAUGCUUUUGGAUAACUAUUUGAGUUUGCAUGCAGAUGUUACAUAAUGAGUUUGCAUGCAGAGUUUGCAUCCAGUGCUAUCAAAAACAAUUGUCGAUAAAGUCAUUGCUGAGCUCGAGUCGUGCGGAUUUCAAUGCUUGGUAGCAGCAAUUGGUGGCAAAGGCAUUGAAAUUGGUUUCUGUGGAUACUCCUGAU